UACAGAGGGGGCAAGCGUUGUUCGGAAUUACUGGGCGUAAAGGGCGCGUAGGCGGCCUGUUAAGUCGAACGUGAAAUCCCCGGGCUCAACCCGGGAACUGCGUCCGAUACUGGCAGGCUUGAAUUCGGGAGAGGGAUGCGGAAUUCCAGGUGUAGCGGUGAAAUGCGUAGAUAUCUGGAGGAAUACCGGUGGCGAAGGCGGCAUCCUGGACUAAUACUGACGCUGAGGCGCGAAAGCUAGGGGAGCAAACGGG
rnacentral:rRNA from 1 species